GGGGUUGUGGCUCAGUGGUAGAGUGCUUGCCUGGCAUGCAUAAGGCAUUGGGUUCCAUCCCCGGCACCA
rfam:Ictidomys tridecemlineatus contig051933, whole genome shotgun sequence.